UGGGUAAUCAACCCUUCAGCUUGGGAUAACGACUUGAAAGGGUCGCUAAUACCGGAUACGGCGCGAGAGGCUUCGGCUUCUCACGAGAAAGCCUCGCAAGGGGCACUGAAGGACGAGCCUGCGGCCCAUCAGCUAGUUGGUGAGGUAAGAGCUCACUAAGGCUAAGACGGGUAGCUGGUCUGAGAGGAUGAUCAGCCACACUGGAACUGAGACACGGUCCAGACUCCG
rnacentral:rRNA from 1 species